GAUGAACGCUAGCGGCAGGCUUAACACAUGCAAGUCGAGGGGCAGCGCGAUGUAGCAAUACAUUGGCGGCGACCGGCGCACGGGUGCGUAACACGUAUGGAACUUACCCUUUACUGGGAGAUAGCCCGGAGAAAUCCGGAUUAAUAUCCCAUAAUAAACGAAGUGGCAUCACUUUGUUUUGAAAGCUCCGGCGGUAAAGGAUGGCCAUGCGCACGAUUAGCUAGUAGGUGAGGUAACGGCUCACCUAGGCUACGAUCGUUAGGGGGCCUGAGAGGGUUAUCCCCCCACACUGGUACUGAGACACGGACCAGACUCCUACGGGAGGCAGCAGUGAGGAAUAUUGCGCAAUGGAGGCAACUCUGACGCAGCCAUGCCGCGUGCAGGAAGAAGGCGCUACGCGUUGUAAACUGCUUUUAACCGGGAGAAACCCUCCGACGUGUCGGAGGUUGACGGUACCGGAGGAAUAAGCACCGGCUAACUUCGUGCCAGCAGCCGCGGU
rnacentral:rRNA from 1 species